AUGAUGACUCUCGGCAACGGAUAUCUCGGCUCUCGCAUCGAUGAAGAACGUAGCGAAAUGCGAUACGUGGUGUGAAUUGCAGAAUCCCGCGAACCAUCGAGUCUUUGAACGCAAGUUGCGCCCGAGGGACCUGCCCGAGGGCACGCCUGCCUCAUGGGCGUUAGAA
rnacentral:rRNA from 1 species